GUCUUUCACAUUCAACUUGGCCAUGGUUUCAGCUUGAGACCUUGGACUGCUCUUCAAUUUUUCUUUUAGGACUAACACAUGGGUGAGUGAAAAGGGCUAACUCACUUUCCUGGCUUUUCUGGAGGUACUAGCCUCUGGAGAGGCCCCUUGUCUUGGGAGAGGCCUCAUGGCUAGAACCUUUGCUUAAAUUACCCCUGGAUCCUUUUGCUUGAGCCUCUGAAGCCCUGCCUGGUUUGGAACCGGCCAGAGUAAGUAUCUAUUCUCUCUUAGUUUGUUACUUUUACUCUUUCCCUCUAUUUUAUAAACAAAUUGCUAUAAAGUCAUUCUGAAUUGAGUAAUAAUUUUGAAGACCAUAGUCUUAUCUAACAUGUUUUUGUUUGUUUUUAACUCUUAUAAGCCAGAAAGAAAAAAAAAAGAAGACUGUGAAGCAACAAUCAGGAUAAAGGAGGACUUAUCAGCUUCCACACUAAAUGAUCAAAAGGUGGAUUACUAUCUAUUUAACAUCAAGGAAUGCAGUAUACAGGAUGAAGAGAAUCAGCUCCAGUGAAUUUCAGAAUGUCUCACUGCAAGUUAAUAUUGAGAAGGGAUGAUCCUACUACUCUAGUUAAAACCUUAACAUCCUCACUUGGGUGUGUAGGCUCAUUACUUUCUAGUCACUCAUUCUAGAAACAUUUCAAAGAGAAAGUAUUGGAGGUUAGGAGAAAAAUCAUUGUAACAGAAAUGUUGUAUUUGGACCGCAGUUCUGCCCACUUUGUGGGCAAGGCAAAUCACAUCCCUCCUCUGGCAGAACUGAGAUGUGGCAACUGUAUACUCCAGGCAAGGCUUAAAAAUGUGUCAUUGAGGGGGCAGCUGUGUAGCUCAGUGGAUUGAGAGCCAGGCCUAGAGACGGGAGGUCCUGGGUUCAAAUCUGACCUCAGACACUUCCCAGCUGUGUCACCCUGGGCAAGUCACUUGACUCCCAUUGCCUAGCCCUUACCUCUCUUCUGCCUUGGAGCCAAUACACAGUAUUGAUUCUAAGAUGGAAAAAAAUAAAAUGUGUUAUUGACUGU
rnacentral:lncRNA from 1 species